GAUGAAGAACGUAGCAAAAUGCGAUAAGUAAUGUGAAUUGCAGAAUUCAGUGAAUCAUCGAAUCUUUGAACGCACAUUGCGCCCGCUGGUAUUCCGGCGGGCAUGCCUGUUCGAGCGUCAUUUCAACCCUCAAGCCCCCGGGUUUGGUGUUGGGGAUCGGCUCUGCCCUUCUGGGCGGUGCCGCCCCCGAAAUACAUUGGCGGUCUCGCUGCAGCCUCCAUUGCGUAGUAGCUAACACCUCGCAACUGGAACGCGGCGCGGCCAUGCCGUAAAACCCCAACUUCUGAACGUUUGACCUCGGAUCAGGUAGGAAUACCCGCUGAACUUAAGCAUAUCAAUAAGCGGAGGA
rnacentral:misc_RNA from 1 species